rnacentral:rRNA from 1 species
CUCAGGAUGAACGCUGGCGGCGUGCUUAACACAUGCAAGUCGAACGGAGUUUUAACGGAAGUUUCGGAUGGAAGUUUAGAAACUUAGUGGCGGACGGGUGAGUAACGCGUGGGUAACCUGCCUCAGUACAGGGGGAUAACAGUUAGAAAUGACUGCUAAGCACCGCAUAAUAUAGCGAAACCGCAUGAUUUUUGCUAUCAAAUAUUUAUAGGUAUGAGAUGGGCCCGCGUCUGAUUAGCUAGUUGGUGGGGUAAAAGCCUACCAAGGCGACGAUCAGUAGCCGGCUUGAGAGAGUGACCGGCCACAUUGGGACUGAGACACGGCCCAAACUCCUACGGGAGGCAGCAGUGGGGAAUAUUGGACAAUGGGGGAAACCCUGAUCCAGCGAACCGCCGCGUGAGUGAAGAAGUAUUUCGGUAUGUAAAGCUCUAUCAGCAGGGAAGAUAAUGACAGUACCUGACUAAGAAGCCCCGGCUAACUACGUGCCAGCCGCUGC